AUGGAAUCCAGUGUUUUGGAGCAAUCACCUACGUCACCAAUCAUCUCAACAUUACCUUCACUCUCAAAAAGUUUUGUAUCGAUGGUUCUUGAGUCAGAUAAUCAAACAAAUAGUGAUCCAUUGCCAGCACCUCCAUCACCAACUAGCUUACCAUUAUCUCUGAAUGCUGAAUUGCCCCUGAAUGAAGGAAAUAUUUCACUAGAUGAUGAUAAGCAAGCAGAGAAUGCUGAAUUGCCCUUGAAUGAAGCAAAUAUUUCAUUACAUGAUGAUAAUCAAACAGAGAAUUCUGAAUUGCCCCCGAAUCAAGGAAAUAUUUCAUUAGAUGAUGACAAGAAAAUAGAGGAACAUGAAACAUAUGACUAUCUCCCACAAGAUUAUACAUUGACAGACCGUGAUGUAUGUGCUCAUAUAGCAAUAGAAACAUCUUUUGAAAAACAAUUGCUGGUGAAGAUAGAUGAAAUAUCUGUGAAAUAA
rnacentral:rRNA from 1 species